GAUGAAGAAACGUAGCAAAAUGCGAUAAGUAAUGUGAAUUGCAGAAUUCAGUGAAUCAUCGAAUCUUUGAACGCACAUUGCGCCCGCCAGUAUUCUGGCGGGCAUGCCUGUUCGAGCGUCAUUUCAACCCUCAAGCACAGCUUGGUGUUGGGACUCGCGUUAAUUCGCGUUCCCCAAAUUGAUUGGCGGUCACGUCGAGCUUCCAUAGCGUAGUAGUAAAACCCUCGUUACUGGUAAUCGUCGCGGCCACGCCGUUAAACCCCAACUUCUGAAUGUUGACCUCGGAUCAGGUAGGAAUACCCGCUGAACUUAAGCAUAUCAAUAAGGGAGGA
rnacentral:misc_RNA from 1 species